rnacentral:rRNA from 1 species
AGCGAACGCUGGCGGCAGGCCUAACACAUGCAAGUCGAACGAACCUUUCGGGGUUAGUGGCGGACGGGUGAGUAACACGUGGGAACGUGCCUUUAGAUUCGGGAUAACUCAGGGAAACUUGUGCUAAUACCGAAUGUGCCCUUCGGGGGAAAGAUUUAUCGCCUUUAGAGCGGCCCGCGUCUGAUUAGCUAGUUGGUUGAGGUAAUGGCUCACCAAGGCGACGAUCAGUAGCUGGUCUGAGAGGAUGAUCAGCCACAUUGGGACUGAGACACGGCCCAAACUACUACGGGAGGCAGCAGUGGGGAAUCUUGCGCAAUGGGCGAAAGCCUGACGCAGCCAUGCCGCGUGAAUGAUGAAGGUCUUAGGAUUGUAAAAUUCUUUAACCGGGGACGAUAAUGACGGUACCCGGAGAAGAAGCCCCGGCUAACUUCGUG